UUUCCUCUUCCAUUUUUUAGGGCAAUUGUUUGAAAGACGAAGCUCCUUCAGGUCUCCUUGGGUUUGCAACCCUUACCCUCCUAGAAAAAAAUCAUAGUUGCUAGACUACGACACUUCAGACCUGGUACUAACUGUUAUUAGCGCCGCUAAUAAUGGACGACGAGCUAUUUUCCGCUAUCCGGAGCUCAAGCGUUUGAGCCGCAAAAUGGACGAGACUCCUGGGGAAAAAAAGGAUGCAGAGAAUGAGGAGAAAACACUCGUAUGGAGCAGGGAGUAGGUAUUGUACUACUUCCUGGUAUGGAGCACUGAGAAGCGCUCUCACCGUCCAGGAGCGACACUGACUCGCACUGCUAUCUGGUGUUCACGAGGUGUUUGUCGCGCUGCAAACAAAGCGUCUCUCAUUAGGCGAUUUGAUCGCAGGACGAGAGAGGAGCUGAUGGACGAUCUCUCCAAUGUUCCUCUUGGUUCGGAGCGGCGCCGAGUGCUGACGUUGGGACUUGGAGUUCUAGCAUCCGUAACUGCCUCAGAGGGUGCCACUUCUCCCAUCAGCGUUGACUAGUCCGCCGAUCUCACUGAGCUCUGCUCUCCGAGCAUUCUGCUUCCAACACGACUUCCCAAAAGAAAAUGUGCUCGCGCAUUAGAAGGAGGUGAAAGAUGCACCUGCAGGAGAAUACAUGCUUUUAAGAGAAGGCAGAAACAUGCCCGGAUCCACCAGAACUAGUGCUGGCAAGUCAACAGAGGCGAGUACUGAUAAUGUUCCAGGUUGUGGUACGAUCACAUAAGCAAAAUUGACACUGGAAGGCACGGCGGUGGGUCAGCUCCUGGCCAGCGCCAGUUCCAGUGGAUAUCACGUGCAUCCAGUUCUAGUACUGCUACAAAGUAGUGCGGCCCAAAUAGAACUAGGGUCA